GAUGAACGCUAGCUACAGGCUUAACACAUGCAAGUCGAGGGGAAACGAUAUUGGAAGCUUGCUUCUGAUAGGCGUCGACCGGCGCACGGGUGAGUAACGCGUAUCCAACCUGCCCAUCACUUGGGGAUAACCUUGUGAAAGUAAGACUAAUACCCAAUGACGUCUCUAGAAGACAUCUGAAAGAGAUUAAAGAUUUAUCGGUGAUGGAUGGGGAUGCGUCUGAUUAGCUUGUUGGCGGGGUAACGGCCCACCAAGGCGACGAUCAGUAGGGGUUCUGAGAGGAAGGUCCCCCCACAUUGGAACUGAGACACGGUCCAAAACUCCUACGGGAGGCAGCAGUGAGGAAUAUUGGGUCAAUGGACGAGAGUCUGAACCAGCCAAGUAGCGUGCAGGAAGACGGCCCUAUGGGUUGUAAACUGCUUUUAUAAGGGAAUAAAGUGAGUCUCGGUGAGACUUUUUGCAUGUACCUUAUGAAUAAGGACCGGCUAAUUCCGUGCCAGCAG
rnacentral:rRNA from 1 species